GACGAACGCUGGCGGCGUGCUUAACACAUGCAAGUCGAACGGAAAGGCCUGCUUUCCCUUGUGGAUUGCGGGUACUCGGGUGGCGAACGGGUGAGUAACACGUGAGUGAUCUGCCCCCAACUUGGGUCUAAGCCUGGGAAACUGGGUCUAAUUCUCGAUAGGACUGCAGGGUGGUGCCUGUGGUGGAAAACGUUUUUCUAGUGGUUGGGGAUGAGCUCGCGGCCUAUCAGCUUGUUGGUGGGGUAAUGGCCUACCAAGGCGGCGACGGGUAGCCGGCCGGAGAGGGGGGACGGCGAAAUUGGGACUGGGACACGGCCCAGACGCCGACGGGAGGCAGGAGUGGGGAAGAGAGCACAAUGGGCGGAAGCCUGAUGCAGCGAGGCAGCGUGGGGGAUGACGGCCUUCGGGUUGUAAACUCCUUGCGACCGCGAGGAAGCCACCUGGUUGGAAGGGUGGUGACGGUAGUGGUAGAAGAAGCACCGGCUAACUACGUG
rnacentral:rRNA from 1 species